rnacentral:misc_RNA from 1 species
AGAAGUUUUCUUAUCAAAUUUAAACUGUAGCAACAUCAGGCAAUAAGCAUUAUGAAACACACAUGAGAAGGAACAUGUGGAUUUUGGUAUGAAUUAGUAGCUAUGAAUGUACAGUAAAGGCAGUCAUUUGCUUUCAACUCCUUAAUUAAGAAUACACAAAAGGCAUAUGAUUCCAGUAAAGAUUGUAUAGGGUUCUCAUCAUAUUCACUCAAAAGAACAAAAAAAG